rnacentral:lncRNA from 1 species
CUUUUUUUCACUUUCACCCCUGAAACUCUCUCUUCUCUCUCCUCCGCGUCUCCUCAGACCCAUCGGGUCCCGACCGACCCGACCUGAGUUUUCCGACGCCGUCGUGCGUCCUCCGGCAGCGGACCCGGUCCAUACCGGCUCGCCUCGGCCCACUCGUCCUCCCCACAGUGGUGCCUCACCUCACCACUCAGGCCAGAAGGAGAUCGAAGGCCUCCCACAGCCGUGAGGCAUGACCCGGCCGGAAGUCCAGUUUUCCGGCAUCCUCUCGGCGACUGGGCGACAAAAUCCUGCUGGAGGUCAGCCACGUGGCGC